rnacentral:pre_miRNA from 1 species
CUAGUACUCUCUCCGUCCAACAAAAGAUGUUUCGAGUUUGUCAAAAUUUGGAUGCAUCUAGACAUCACUUAGUGUAUAAAUGCAUUCAAAUUUAGUCAAAGUUAAGACAUCUUUUGUUGGACGAUAGUUUAAU